CCUACGGGUGGCUGCAGUGGGGAAUAUUGGACAAUGGGCGAAAGCCUGAUCCAGCCAUGCCGCGUGUGUGAAGAAGGCCUUCGGGUUGUAAAGCACUUUCAGUGGGGAAGAAAGCCUUGGGGCUAAUACCCUCGAGGAAGGACAUCACCCACAGAAGAAGCACCGGCUAACUCCGUGCCAGCAGCCGCGGUAAUACGGAGGGUGCGAGCGUUAAUCGGAAUUACUGGGCGUAAAGCGCGCGUAGGCGGUCUGAUAAGCCGGUUGUGAAAGCCCCGGGCUCAACCUGGGAACGGCAUCCGGAACUGUCAGGCUGGAGUGCAGGAGAGGAAGGUAGAAUUCCCGGUGUAGCGGUGAAAUGCGUAGAGAUCGGGAGGAAUACCAGUGGCGAAGGCGGCCUUCUGGACUGACACUGACGCUGAGGUGCGAAAGCGUGGGUAGCAAACAGGAUUAGAUACCCGUGUAGUC
rnacentral:rRNA from 1 species